UACAGAGGUCCCAAGCGUUGUUCGGAUUCACUGGGCGUAAAGGGUGCGUAGGUGGCGCGCUAAGUCAGGUGUGAAAUUUCGGAGCUUAACUCCGAAACUGCAUUUGAUACUGGCGUGCUUGAGGACUGGAGAGGAGACUGGAAUUCAUGGUGUAGCAGUGAAAUGCGUAGAGAUCAUGAGGAAGACCAGUGGCGAAGGCGGGUCUCUGGACAGUUCCUGACACUGAGGCACGAAGGCCCAGGGGGAGCAAAACGGG
rnacentral:rRNA from 1 species